rnacentral:rRNA from 1 species
CCCACCACUAGGACAAACAUAAACCUUUUGUAAUUGCAAUCAGCGUCAGUAACAAAUUAAUAAUUACAACUUUCAACAACGGAUCUCUUGGUUCUGGCAUCGAUGAAGAACGCAGCGAAAUGCGAUAAGUAGUGUGAAUUGCAGAAUUCAGUGAAUCAUCGAAUCUUUGAACGCACAUUGCGCCCUUUGGUAUUCCAAAGGGCAUGCCUGUUCGAGCGUCAUUUGUACCCUCAAGCUUUGCUUGGUGUUGGGCGUCUUGUCUCUAGCUUUGCUGGAGACUCGCCUUAAAGUAAUUGGCAGCCGGCCUACUGGUUUCGGAGCGCAGCACAAGUCGCACUCUCUAUCAGCAAAGGUCUAGCAUCCAUUAAGCCUUUUUUUUCAACUUUUGACCUCGGAUCAGGUAGGGAUACCCGCUGAACUUAAGCAUAUCAAUAAGCGGAGGAA